rnacentral:rRNA from 1 species
GACGAACGCUGGCGGCGCGCUUAACACAUGCAAGUCGAACGGAAAGGCCUGCUUUCCCUUGUGGAUUGCGGGUACUCGAGUGGCGAACGGGUGAGUAACACGUGAGUGAUCUGCCCCCAACUUGGGUAUAAGCCUGGGAAACUGGGUCUAAUUCCCGCUAGUACUGCAGGGUGGUGCCUGUGGUGGAAAACGAUUUUCUAGUGGUUGGGGAUGAGCUCGCGGCCUAUCAGCUUGUUGGUGGGGUAAUGGCCUACCAAGGCGGCGACGGGUAGCCGGCCUGGGAGGGUGGACGGCCACAUUGGGACUGAGAUACGGCCCAGACGACGACGGGAGGAAGCAGUGGGGAAUAAUGCACAAUGGGCGGAAGCCUGAGGCAGCGACGCCGCGUGGGGGAUGACGGCCUUCGGGUUGUAAACUCCUUUCGACCGCGAGGAAGCCACCUGGUUGGAAGGGUGGUGACGGUAGUGGUAGAAGAAGCACCGGCUAACUACGUG